GUACUCUAGACUCCAAUCCUGAACGUGAAAUUCUUUCGCCUUUUACUAAAGAAUUCCGGGCUUGGGGUGAACUUGAGUUCGUACUCUUUUUCUGAACCCUUCGAAAACGGUGGGU